GACGAACGCUGGCGGCGUGCUUAACACAUGCAAGUCGAACGGAAAGGCCCUGCUUUUGUGGGGUGCUCGAGUGGCGAACGGGUGAGUAACACGUGAGUAACCUGCCCUUGACUUUGGGAUAACUUAAGGAAACUGGGGCUAAUACCGGAUAGGAGCUCCUGCUGCAUGGUGGGGGUUGGAAAGUUUCGGCGGUUGGGGAUGGACUCGCGGCUUAUCAGCUUGUUGGUGGGGUAGUGGCUUACCAAGGCUUUGACGGGUAGCCGGCCUGAGAGGGUGACCGGCCACAUUGGGACUGAGAUACGGCCCAGACUCCUACGGGAGGCAGCAGUGGGGAAUAUUGCACAAUGGGCGGAAGCCUGAUGCAGCAACGCCGCGUGCGGGAUGACGGCCUUCGGGUUGUAAACCGAUUUCGCCUGUGACGAAGCGUGAGUGACGGUAAUGGGUAAAGAAGCACCGGCUAACUACGUG
rnacentral:rRNA from 1 species